CCCUGAUGUUAGCGGCGGACGGGUGAGUAACACGUGGGUAACCUGCCUGUAAGACUGGGAUAACUCCGGGAAACCGGGGCUAAUACCGGAUGUUGUUUGAACCGCAUGGUUCAGACAUAAAAGGUGGCUUCGGCUACCACUUACAGAUGGACCCGCGGCGCAUUAGCUAGUUGGUGAGGUAACGGCUCACCAAGGCAACGAUGCGUAGCCGACCUGAGAGGGUGAUCGGCCACACUGGGACUGAGUACACGGCCCAGACUCCUACGGGAGGCAGCAGUAGGGAAUCUUCCGCAAUGGACGAAAGUCUGACGGAGCAACGCCGCGUGAGUGAUGAAGGUUUUCGGAUCGUAAAGCUCUGUUGUUAGGGAAGAACAAGUGCCGUUCAAAUAGGGCGGCACCUUGACGGUACCUAACCAGAAAGCCACGGCUAAAUACGUGCCAGCAGCCGCGGUAAUACGUAGGUGGCAAGCGUUGUCCGGAAUUAUUGGGCGUAAAGGGCUCGCAGACGGUUUCUUAAGUCUGAUGUGAAAGCCCCCGGCUCAACCGGGGAGGGUCAUUGGAAACUGGGGAACUUGAGUGCAGAAGAGGAGAGUGGAAUUCCACGUGUAGCGGUGAAAUGCGUAGAGAUGUGGAGGAACACCAGUGGCGAAGGCGACUCUCUGGUCUGUAACUGACGCUGAGGAGCGAAAGCGUGGGGAGCGCACAGGAUUAGAUAUCCUGGUAGUCCACGCCGUAAACGAUGAGUGCUAAGUGUUAGGGGGUUUCCGCCCCUUAGUGC
rnacentral:rRNA from 1 species